CCGGCGAGGAGUUCCACGCGCCGCCGCCGCCGCUUCUCCUCCAGCCGCCGGCGGGGCCUCCCUUCCUACCCAAGCCUCCGCCGCCGUUCCCAUCUCCUCGUCCUCCGUGCCACCGCCGGCGCCUCUUCCGCUGAAUCCAUCUCCACCUCCUCACCUAUUCGCUAACGCCGCCUCCCAUCCUCUCUUCUCUCCGGGCUCCGGCUAGAUCCAAGUCGGCGUCGAGAUCCAGGGCUCGAAAACCCCUCACCUAUCCAAGGAUUUCAGGUAGUGAUCUCUGCGAAUUCCUUGAAACUGCAUGCUUUUUUAAAAAAAACUCCUGUGGACACUUUAACAAUCCAAAAUGAUAAAGUAGUUAAUUGGCUUAUUUCCUCACUUUUCUAUCUACCAAUUGGUUCGUUAAUUCAUAUAGAUAUAUCUUAAUUGCUUAGUAAAGAUUAUCUCUUGGAUUGUUGUGUACUCGUCGAUUUUUGAUAUUAUCGAGCCGUCCCGAAAUAAUGGCUAUAGUUUCCAUCUUCCAUUGGGUAGUGUUCAUUGUUGUCUCCGUUUCAGCGUUAUAAAUCAAACAUUGUGCAAAUUGUAGAUAGAAAAAAUUGUGAAGAUUGAGGAAAACUAUCCUACGGCUCAAUGAGCAGAGCCGGUAUGUCAGACAACCAGUGAAGUCCAUGUCUUAUGCCCAAUGCUUGCACUCAAACCUCAUUCCUUUCCUAGGUUAAAGUAUGCUGUUUUAUUUUGGCCUUGGUGCACAUUUAAGCACCAGAUCUUUUACUCCCAUUUUCAUGUCCGCAAAUUCAUGAACCAGCAGAUUAAUCAUACAUGUACACCAAUUAAAUAUUGUAACAGAAGAGAUAUAUAUUCAUAUUCAACAUAUAUGCAUAGAGGUGAAGAGUAAUCGGUUACUGGGCAUGUUGCUGGUGCUAUUCUUGUUAUUCUUAACGCCCGAUGUAGAUAAGGAUGCCGAGAAUAAUUCAUUCUUCUGUGUACAGCGACGAGGGCUAUGGUUCACUGCUGGGCAUUGCUGCCUGUCUUUGCUGUCGAUUUGACAUAGUCCUUCCUAAUCUUCUUCAGCAUCACGACCACAUCCUUCAUUUCCAUCCUUUGCUCUGGGGAGUCAGCCGAG
rnacentral:lncRNA from 1 species